UGAACGCUGGCGGCGUGCCUAAUACAUGCAAGUCGAGCGAACAGACGAGGAGCUUGCUCCUCUGACGUUAGCGGCGGACGGGUGAGUAACACGUGGAUAACCUACCUAUAAGACUGGGAUAACUUCGGGAAACCGGAGCUAAUACCGGAUAAUAUAUUGAACCGCAUGGUUCAAUAGUGAAAGACGGUUUUGCUGUCACUUAUAGAUGGAUCCGCGCCGCAUUAGCUAGUUGGUAAGGUAACGGCUUACCAAGGCAACGAUGCGUAGCCGACCUGAGAGGGUGAUCGGCCACACUGGAACUGAGACACGGCCCAGACUCCUACGGGAGGCAGCAGUAGGGAAUCUUCCGCAAUGGGCGAAAGCCUGACGGAGCAACGCCGCGUGAGUGAUGAAGGUCUUCGGAUCGUAAAACUCUGUUAUUAGGGAAGAACAAAUGUGUAAGUAACUAUGCACGUCUUGACGGUACCUAAUCAGAAAGCCACGGCUAACUACGUG
rnacentral:rRNA from 1 species